UCCCGGUUAACCCGGGCAGUCUCAUUAGAGUUCCCAGCCGAACUGUUGGCAACUAAUGACAAGGGUUGCGCUCGUUGCGGGACUUAACCCAACACCUCACGGCACGAGCUGACGACAGCCAUGCAGCACCUGUACAGCAGUCCCGAAGGAAGACCGCAUUUCUGCAGCUGUCUACUGUAUGUCAAGCCUAGGUAAGGUUCUUCGCGUUGCAUCGAAUUAAACCACAUGCUCCACUGCUUGUGCGGGUCCCCGUCAAUUCUUUUGAGUUUCACCCUUGCGAGCGUACUCCCCAGGCGGUGUACUUAACGCGUUGGCUACGGCACAGUCGGGGUUGAGUCCGACUACACCAAGUACACAUAGUUUACGGCUAGGACUAC
rnacentral:misc_RNA from 1 species